rnacentral:rRNA from 1 species
CUGUGCAAAGGUAGCAUAAUCAUUAGCUUUUUAAUUGAAGGCUUGUAUGAAGGGUCUGACAAAGAAAAAGCUGUCUUUAAUUUUAUUUUUGAAUUUAACUUUUAAGUGAAAAGGCUUAGUUGAGUUUAAGGGACGAUAAGACCCUAUAAAUCUUUAUAUUAAAUUAUUAUCUUGGAUUUUAAUUAUUUUGUCUAGAUUUUUAAGUAAAAUAAUAAAUAUUUUGUUGGGGUGACAAGAAUAUAAGAAUAACUGUUCAUAAUUAAAACAAAGUUGUUUGAAUAAAAGUUAUAGAUCCUUUUUAUAGAUUAAGAGAUUAAGUUACUUUAGGGAUAACAGCGUUAUUUUUUUUGAGAGUUCUUAUCGAAAAAAAAGUUUGCGACCUCGAUGUUGAAUUAAAAUUUCUCUAUGGUGUAGAAGCUGUAGAAGAAAGUCUGUUCGACUUUUGAAAUUUU